UUUAACAUUAAUAUAAAAUGAGGUUAUUUUAUAUAUAAAGUCCAUACUACACCAAAUAUAAUAUUAUAUUAUAACUUAAUGUAAUGCACCCUCAUGUAAUAUAUUAUAAUACAAUACAGCUAAUACAGUGUGCCAAAUAUACCCUAAUUGUGUGUUUAUAUUUGCCACAUGGAAUUAGAUAACAUUGCAUUAACUAAUGCAUGCUUGGUAGAUUUUGAAAGCUGCAUUACUUUUGGUGCGUUAGGCAAACCUAAAUUGACUCUAUUGUGUUCUCUCACUUCGUUACUGAGAUUAUCUGCCAUAUUUGUAACCUGAGUGAAGAAGAAGGUUGUCAUCUGACUGUGCUCCUCCUCCUCGUAUGCAGCUCACUUCUUUAUUCUCUGUCUCAAUCUUCAUCUCUUUCACCUGUAACUUGAUGGACCCAGUAUUGCCAUCACUGCCCAUUAUCUCGCUAUUGCCGUCUAUUAAGAAAGUUGUGUAACUUAUAACUUUGUCAAUCGAGAGCAAUGAGUAGGUUAGACAAGUACUGUUGGCCCAAAAUUCUAUCUUGUUAUUUUGUUUAAUUAGUCUCGCUUAGUUGUUUACCUUGGACUCUCAGCUUCUCUCCAAAAAGUUAUUAUUAUUACUAUUAUUUUAUUUAAGAAAGUUAUGUUCAAUUUGUGUUGUAAAGUUGAUCUUGGACCUAGUUUCAGUGCACCAACUGCGUCACACGACCAUAAUUCUCCACGUGUAUUCAUGCAGAAUGGUUCCACAAUUUCUGCAAAUUACCAUGCUGUAAUGUCAUCAAUUUUGCAUUGAUCACAUGAUGUUAUGAACAUGCUUACAUUAAGUAGAUUGGAUUAUUUCAGAACUUCACAGGAAUAUAAACAACCAGAAACAUAAAAUAAAACCAAGUUCACAUAACAAACAUGUUAUAACUCCGAGCAUCAAACAAAUAUAUUUUUAUUGUACAAACCCAGAAGCCAAGAACUAAUGCAACGGAAAUCUUCUGAAAUUACUCAAUAAAUCCUUAUUUUAAUAAAUUCUUUCAUAAUGCCAAUAAAUUAGAACAAUCUAUAAAAUAUAUGAGCAAAUACUCCAACAAAUUAAACUGACAAUUGCAAACAAAAUUUACGAGAGUAUUGACCGCGGGGAAGGGAUAAUGAAAAAAUAUCCCUCAUGAUGGGACCAAAAAAAAAAAGUCUUUCAACUUAUAAUAAGAAGUGAUCCACCGAGGGAGGAGAAAGAGAGAAUUAACUUCGUCGUCAACUGUCGUCAUUUUCGUCUUCACUCAUGUUACAAAUAUGGCAGCAAACCAGAGAAGAAAUUAAAAUGGAAAGAAAGGAAAAGAAUUUGGAUGAUAAUUGAGAGAGAGAACAAGAAUAUAAUCACAAACCAAUUAAUUGUCUGUCUUUCAUGUUUAGAAAUUUGAAAAUAUUGCGGGGCAAAAAAUAAGUGAGAAAUUAAAUUUAAUUUGACUCUAAAUUUUUUAACACACAGUCCCUCGUGUCUUUCAACUAUUAGUAGGUGGUUUCACAUAAAAUUAUGACACGAAACUUUUAAAAAAAUUUAUUUUAAGGAGUUGAGAUCCAAAUUAAGUUUUGAAAUCAUAAAUAGAGAGAGAGGUGUGAGUGUAAGUAUAAGCAAAUUAUAGAUUAAUCAUUUAAAGGUAAAACCCCAAAUUAAUAAUUAGAGUAACACAGAGUUGUGAAGGUUAAAUGAUUGAUCUCAGAGAUGUUGUCCCACUUCCUCACUGAUCAUCAUGUGUUUGGUUUUGGCUUUUUGAAUUAUAUAGUCAAAGCCAUGCAUGGAUGCCAGGCCGUCACCACCACCAUCAUCAUCAUUAAUUAUUACAGGUUUUAAUGGAAUGGAAUGACUUGUUGCUCAAGCCGAUGGCAGUAGGCAAAAGCGUUUUGAGAGUUUGUCGAUUUCUCAACGUGGGCAUUUGUAAGAACAUCCAUUAAGAGCAUUCCUCGAGUUGCUAAUCAAUUGAUAAUGUAAUUGCCAGUGGAAGGUAAAUAAUUGCCAUUAACCUUCUUUUUUACCUUUUUGGUGUUGUGUGUGUACGGGGGGGUGUGACUGUGUGUACAAUUUUUGGCUUCUCAUCAUUUCCCAUCCAACUGUAUUAUAAGCCUGUAAAAAAAUGUAAUCAGUCAUUCAUUUGGAUGUUCAUGUACCCAUGAAAAGUUGUUGCGUAUGUUGGUUCUCCGGGCCUGCCCGAGGCUAGCGAGUGAGCCCAAUUUUGAUUGUUUUAGAUCUAAGAAGUGGGUUGAUGUUAAAACUUAGCUACAACGAACGACAAAUAUCACACCAUUACCGUUUUGUUUUCUUAUGGGCAGGGGCACUAAUAAGCAAAAGUGAAAAGAAAUGUAAAAGUGCCAAAUAUUUCUUUGCCAUUACAUUUGCAGUCUGUUAGUAGCCGGUGACCUGGUCGCGCACUUUUUUUUUUUUAAGUUUGUUAUAUAUAGAUAUUACUGACAUUACAUCAAAUAUUACAAUUAAUAUUUACAAUCAUACUGUAUAACUGGGACUACCACCAUACAUUGACACACUGAAGUAUAUACCCAUAUAUUUUAACCCUCUCUAAUAUUCGAGACACUGAAGUAUAUGUCCAGAUAUUUUAAACCUUCUCUAAUACUCGAGGGGUGCCUGCUCCACUCACAUUUCGUAAGGGAGAGACUGUCUCCACUCAAUUAAUUGAUAAUUGAGAAAGAACUGAAAUUAACCUCUAUAAUACUCUUAUGGAGGUUCGAACUCUUGCACUCAACAUUGUAAGUGCAAGGCUUCUCCAAUUGGACCAAAGGCCCGUUAGUACCUGGUCGAGCACUUAAAUGAUGCAAACAUUAUUAAAACUUUGAUCUGUGUGCGUGUUUAUGGGAAGAGUGCUGAACAGAAAUUGACUUUUAACGAAGACAGAGGAGCAGAUUUUAGGAUCUUGGUGGUAUUGUUUUGUUAGGAAUUCAAGAAAUAGAAAAAUUGCGCAUGAGCUUGCUUCAUUCAACUAGAAAGGAAAAGUCCCAAAUGUAAAAGCAAAUGCGAAAGGGGAAAAAAAAAUAAAAACACAACUGUGUAAUGAUAAAUUAAAGUGGCAGGUAACUAUCUAGUGUAACUUUAUUUCUGUUUUUAAACUUUGGGGGGAAAAAAAGGGGGGGAAAAAGGUUGAGAGUCGGAUACUUGGAUACUGGCUGGAGCUGGACAAGAGUCAAGACUCCUCUUUAGCCUUGGCUUUGCCCUUGCACUCACAAUCCCACAUCCAUCAAUUUGAAAUGACACCCAUCUCUCUCUCCCCACUCCGCAUCUCGAGCCUUUUUAUACGCUGGAAAAUACAAAGUUUAAUUACCUCUAACGUGGCUGGCAUUGGCAAAUGGCAACGACACAGUACAAAUAAAUAAUCAUAUACACACGUAUUGCUGAAAGAGGCAAUUGAAAGGGAAAAGAGCAAAACUUACUUUUAUGGACUGACAGAGAGAGAGGGGUUGAUGCAGAAACCAGAACUGCACAGGAAAAUCAAAUUAGUCAUCGGAAAAUGAGGGAAAAAGCUUAUAUGUAGGCGACGCCCAUUAUGUAGUCCCUCUCAAAAGAAAUGAUACUAUUACUAUGUAAAUAAUUAACAAUAAUAAAGGAAAGAAUAAUAAUAGGUUUCGUGUAAGCUUUUGCUUUUCAUAUCUUUGGACGCUGUAAAAUGAAAUCCUUCUGUUGCAGCUCCUGCUUUUCACAUUUUUGGCACUUGCAGGUUUCCGAAGCUUUUCCAGAUGCUGCCGCUGCACUGCAUGCAGGAACCUUUUGUUUGUUGCUUUAGUUGUCAUCAUCUUUUAGAUAAAAAACCGUUCAGUGGAGCAAGGGUUGAUUACACAAUAAAUUAACCUAAGUUAAUUACACAUGUUUAAUUGAAAUUAACUAAUACAUAAGCCAUAAAAAUACAAGACUUUGAGAUUUGAUUAUUUUGGCAUUAAUUAGUGAAAAAGAGAUCAUGACAACGACAAUGUUAAAGAAAACGACUCUUGUGGAAAACAAUCCUGCCGUUGGGCGUUGAUAUUUAAUGCCGGCAUUGCUUAAACGAUUGGGAAAAUGUGUGUUUAAUUUGCUAAAUAGAUAUUUAUGCAAAUGGCAGAAUUUUAAUUUUAAUUUUAUUUAUUUAUUCUUGUUAAAAGGUAGGAGAGUGAGACAAAACAUCAUAUCCAUUUUUAGACCCUGUUCCGGUAUUCCUUUAGGAUUUGAAUUUAUAGUAUUUAAUAAACAUUACUCGGCCAAACAUUGAGAAUUGCCAAUGACACAAAUUGUUUACAGGGGUGGUGAAAUUUUAAUUCGCAUUUCUUUAGGCCUCGACUUAAAUUUCUUUUGGUAACAUCAACAUUAUGGAUUAUGGAAUUCUAUAUAAUCUCCCGCAGUCCAAUCUAUGCAACUACUCGCAGACAAAAUAAAAUAUCCGAAAGAAUUCAAGAGCCUAAAGGUAAUGUCUUGAAGAGGUCACGUUCACCAUCAAACUAUUUCAAUAGAUGGAGCCAAUUGAUCACGGAAGAUUUCGUUUUGAGUGGUAAAUUAUUGAGACAGUCCAUAAAUAAUACGUCGGUGUCUUAUAGAGUUCUUUUCUCUGCUCGAUUAUAUAAGAUUAUUAUUAAUAUUUGAGAAUUGAAAGAAAAUUGAAAUUGACUCUCAUAAUAUUUUUAUAGAGACUCGAACCAUUUUUUAUAAAUACUCGAACCCUUAUUCUCACUAUUAUAAAUGCAAAGACUCUCCUACUAGAUCAAAAACCCAUUGAUAAUUGAAAUUCGCUUAUUGAUUGAUGAUUCUUUCUUUUGCUGAAUUGUUAUAGUUAAGGAAAUUUUAAGGACGGGUACACAUAAAUUUUGAAGACUUGUUUGCUUAUCUUUUUGGGUCAAGCUUUAGCUAUAUAUAAUGAACUGAAGCGCAAAUUUCAUAUAGUCCAUAGAUUCGAAUAAGGGGACACUUUCCUAUUCUAUUUGUUUAUCAUUUGAAUUGAAAUUUUAAAAAGGUAUUUUGACUCGUCCACAGGCAAUGAAUUUUGGACCUACUGUACCAACCAAAAAUGCAAAUAAUAUAUACACCCAUCUUUUGCUGCGUACUGUGUACAUUAACUUCUAGGGACUUUCAAAAUAUAGGGCAUUGAUUCAGUAUCAUUGUCCAAAUAGAAAACCAAUAUUAUAAUACA
rnacentral:lncRNA from 1 species